rnacentral:tRNA from 1 species
GGAGGCAUGGCUCAGGGGUAGAUCAUCUGCCUAGUAAGCAAAAGGCCCUGAGUUCAAACCCCAGUACUGCCC